CUUCACAUCAGGUGGCCAAAGUAUUGGAGCUUCAGCUUCAGCAUCAGUCCUUCCAAUGAACACUAAGGGCUGACUUCCUUCUGGACUGACUGGUUUGCUGUCCUGCAGUCUCGGGGACUCACACGGAGAGCACGUUAAAGUCUGAGAGCACCACCGCAGAGCUGUCUCACACAGAGAAGAGGAGAGAGGCACGUGAGGAAAAUGCCACAGGCCAACAAAGACGGAGAUGGGAGCUGUGCAGCUGCAGCCAGGGCCGGCUGGCCACACCAGAAACAGCAGAGACCACGAGAAGACCCCGACCGGCCUCAGAGGGAGCAGAGCCCUGCUGACACCUUGAUUUCGGACUUUUUGCAUCCAGAACUGUGAGAGAAUAACGUUCUGUUGUUUUAAGCCCCCCAGUUUGUGACAACUUGUUCUGGCAGCCCCAGAAACCUGGUACAGCACAGGUGCAAGUCCUUCCCAGCUCUGACCACUGAAAAGAGGAGAGAGCAAGGACCCACCAGCCGCAAUAAUGAAGCUCUAGGGGAUCUACUAGAAGUCUGUUAAAAGUACAGAAGUAAUUGGCUUUGCCAACGCUAAGAAAGGUGAAGGCAAGCAGAGCUGCCCUGGUGAAGAUGGUUUCUCUGAACUGCACACAGUUUUCUGGGCCCAAGAAGGCUGAUGUCACUUUAUGUCGGUCCCUGCCAGACUGCAGCUCCUAUGCAUGUGAAACUGUAUUUCCUUGCGAUCACCAAGCCUGCUGAAGGUGGCACAGGCUUCAGGAGCCUGGGGCAGAGCCACUUAUCAGCACCUCCUGGGAGGCAGGAACACACACCAGCAGGUGAAGGCAGCCUCCACUGGAGCUCUCACAUGGGACGGGCUCCAGGGACUGAGGGCAGAGGGGCCUCACGGCAGUUCACACACCCUGCGCUGCAGUGUCCUCCACGGACCCACAGCUCGACCAGGCGGCGAGAGUAACAGCCUAGGGGUGGCCCCGCUCCUGCUAAGGCCAGGGGCACCACUUCCUGACCUGAGUCCUGGCAACCUUGUCUCUCGUAACAAGACUCCUGCUGCGACUAGGACAGGUGGCCUGGAUGGCGGUUUGUUCCCCAGAAUCAGCUUCCAUCAGGCGAGGGUACCCGUGUGAACCCAGCUUGGCAAGCAAGGCCUCAGCGUAGAUCUCUUUUCCUAACUUCACACUAACCACUCAUCAUUCCUGGAGGGUUUUCAGACAACACAGUGACUCAACAGCAGGGUUUACAUGAAUUUCCAUCAUCAUGUCAGUUUCACCUGCCUGACCCGCCCCCACCCCCGCGACCCUUCCGCACAGCUGCUGUUGUCUCUGAGCCCUCACCCACUGGGCCGUCACUAAGAUGACCAGAACAGGCCCCUGCUGUACACGUGCAAUGCAGGGGGCACAAAGGGGGUCCGGGAAACAUCUUCAAUUGUCCCUUUUACAAGAUCUCUGGGAAUUCUUUAAAGGGCGACAAAAUGCUAGAUGGUCAAAAAUGCAAUCUAAAAUAAAGAAAAACAUUAGAACCCCUUAUGUUGCCUGAGUCUAACCCUCCCACCCCUGCCCCCACUGUAACAUAUUUUCUCAGUUUGUCUAUAACAGGGUUCUGUUGCAUUUCACCUUUGAAGAUGCCAACUCUAAGCACUAGGCAAAAUAAUUUAAGGGACAUAGUGAAAGUGAAAGUUGCUCAGUCGUGUCCAACUCUUUGCGACUCUAUGGA